CCCCUAGAUGUUCUGGGCCGCACGCGCGCUACACUGAACAGUUCAACAAGUCUUAACCUUGGCCGAUAGGUCUGGGUAAUCUUUGAACGCUGUUCGUGAUUGGGAUAGACCUUUGCAAUUAUGGGUCUUCAACGAGGAAUUCCUAGUAAACGCAAGUCAUCAGCUUGCAUUGAUUACGUCCCUGCCCUUUGUACACACCGCCCGUCGCACCUACCGAUUGAAUGGUCCGGUGAAAUCUCGGGACGGCGGCUUGGUCGCUUGCGUCCGACUGCUGAAACUUGAUUAAACCAGAUCAUUUAGAGGAAGGUGAAGUCGUANCA
rnacentral:rRNA from 1 species